rnacentral:pre_miRNA from 1 species
GCUGGGCGCUCUUCUUUGCCUGUUUUGGCACUAGCACAUUUUUGCUUUUUUAUAUAUACCUUGAGCAAUUAUGUGUAGUGCCAAUAUGGGACAAGACAGACAUGCUACUUAAAAAAAAAAUCAGC